rnacentral:lncRNA from 1 species
GUAUAACCAUGUACCCAUACCUCCUAGGUGACUAAAGUGGAGGGAAUAUCAUCAACACUUACUCUUUUGUGGGCCCGUUGGUCUCCUAGGUGACUAAAGUGGAAGAAAUAUCGUCAAUACUGACUCAUGUGUGGACCCGUGGCACAAGUUGAGCAGAGAACGAUAUGGCAAGAAAAAGUGCAACUAACCUUUGCUGUAGUUAAGAGUGUUACCUUGGUGUAAUAAUGCAAAACGUAGAUUCUUUAUUGAACUUGAAUCCCAG